rnacentral:rRNA from 1 species
AUUGAACGCUGGCGGCAUGCCUUACACAUGCAAGUCGAACGGCAGCACGGGUGCUUGCACCUGGUGGCGAGUGGCGAACGGGUGAGUAAUACAUCGGAACGUACCUUAUCGUGGGGGAUAACGCAGCGAAAGCUGUGCUAAUACCGCAUACGCCCUGAGGGGGAAAGCGGGGGAUCGAAAGACCUCGCGCGAUUAGAGCGGCCGAUGCCUGGUUAGCUGGUUGGUGGGGUAAAAGCCCACCAAGGCGACGAUCAGUAGCUGGUCUGAGAGGACGAUCAGCCACACUGGGACUGAGACACGGCCCAGGCACCUACGGGAGGCAGCAGUGGGGAAAUUUGGACAAUGGGGGCAACCCUGAUCCAGCAAUGCCGCGUGAGUGAAGAAGGCCUUCGGGUUGUAAGCUCUUUUGUCAGGGAAGAAACACCGGCUCUAACACAGUCCGGGAAUGACGGUACCUGAAGAAUAAGCACCGGCUAACUACGUGCCAGCAGCCGCCGUAA